rnacentral:rRNA from 1 species
GACGAACCGUGCUAACGUUAUUCGGAAUCACUGGGCUUAAAGCGCGUGUAGGCGGAUGGGGACGUCGGUUGUUGAAAGCCCCCGGCUCAACCGGGGAACUGGCACCGAAACGCCCCGUCUGGAGGGACGUAGGGGGACCUGGAACUUCCGGUGGAGCGGUGAAAUGCGUUGAGAUCGGAAGGAACGCCCGUGGCGAAAGCGAGGUCCUGGACGUUUUCUGACGCUGAGACGCGAAAGCUAGGGGAGCGAACGGG